GAGCUACCACUGCCGAGAGGUUACGGCUUUCACCUUGUAAGCGGAAGAUGAUUGGUUCGAUUCCUGUCUGGCUCG
rnacentral:tRNA from 1 species